ACUUUGGCGGCGACCGGCGCACGGGUGCGUAACGCGUAUGCAACCUGCCCCGUACAGGGGUAUAACGGAGGGAAACUUCCACUAAUCCCCCAUAAUGACAUGCUUCCGCAUGGGAGUGUGUUUAAAGGUUUUUCUGGUACGGGAUGGGCAUGCGUGACAUUAGGUAGUUGGCGGGGCAACGGCCCACCAAGCCGACGAUGUCUAGGGGAGCUGAGAGGCUUAUCCCCCACACUGGUACUGAGACACGGACCAGACUCCUACGGGAGGCAGCAGUGAGGAAUAUUGGUCAAUGGGAGGAAUCCUGAACCAGCCAUGCCGCGUGGGGAAGAAGGUCCUAUGGGUUGUAAACCCCUUUUGCUCGGGAGUAAUAAGAGUCUUGCGAGGCUUGAUGAGAGUACCGGGCGAAUAAGCAUCGGCUAACUCCGUGCC
rnacentral:rRNA from 1 species